rnacentral:rRNA from 1 species
GUGGGGAAUAUUGGGCAAUGGAGGCAACUCUGACCCAGCCAUGCCGCGUGGGUGACGAAGGUCUUCGGAUUGUAAAGCCCUUUCGGCGGGGACGAUGAUGACGGUACCCGCAGAAGAAGCCCCGGCUAACUUCGUGCCAGCAGCCGCGGUAAUACGAAGGGGGCUAGCGUUGUUCGGAAUUACUGGGCGUAAAGGGCGUGUAGGCGGCCCGCUAAGUCAGGUGUGAAAGGCCUGGGCUCAACCCAGGAAAUGCGCCUGAGACUGACGGGCUUGAAUCCGGGAGAGGAUGGUGGAACUCCCAGUGUAGAGGUGAAAUUCGUAGAUAUUGGGAAGAACACCCGUGGCGAAGGCGGCCAUCUGGACCGGUAUUGACGCUAAGGCGCGACAGCGUGGGGAGCAAACAGGAUUAGAAACCCGGGUAGUCC